UACAGAGGGUGCAAGCGUUGUUCGGAAUUAUUGGGCGUAAAGGGCGCGUAGGCGGUGCGGUAAGUCUGUAGUGAAAUCUCUGGGCUCAACUCAGAGUCUGCUGCAGAAACUGCCGUGCUUGAGUGUGGGAGAGGUGAGUGGAAUUCCAGGUGUAGUGGUGAAAUACGUAGAUAUCUGGAGGAACACCGGUGGCGAAGGCGGCGAUCUGGCCCAACAUUGACACUGAGACGCGAAAGCGUGGGGAGCAAACAGG
rnacentral:rRNA from 1 species